UACGUAGGGUGCGAGCGUUAUCCGGAAUCAUUGGGCGUAAAGCGUCCGUAGGUGGCUUUUCAAGUCUGCCGUCAAAGACCGGGGCUUAACCCCAGAAAGGCGGUGGAAACUGAAUAGCUAGAGUGCGGUAGGGGUAGAGGGAAUUCCCGGUGUAGCGGUGAAAUGCGUAGAGAUCGGGAAGAACACCGGUGGCGAAAGCGCUCUACUGGACCGUAACUGACACUCAGGGACGAAAGCUAGGGGAGCGAAUGGG
rnacentral:rRNA from 1 species